UUAUCUCCGUUUUUGUAUUUCGCUGCUCAAAAUGAAAAAAAAGAAACGCGCACUACCCUACCUGAAAUUUUAGCUAACUAAAAAAUCAAUAAAAUUUUUUCGGGAUGGUGCCCAGAAAACCGAAGCCACCUUUCUUUCCCUUUACCUCUCCCUCUAAUUCUAGUGCUAAAUUCAACCUUAAAUCCAUGAACAUACCCCUUAUUAACGUUUCUGUCCUUAAAGUCUAAUUUCCUCUCCUGCCAACGUUGUUUUGGUGAUCAAUUGCUAUCAGAUUCCUAUUUCUUUGCUUUCUUAGCUUCUAUAUUUCUUUUAUGGUCUUUCAAUGUUCAGUUGUGUUUCCAUACACUAGAAUGUAAACAGCAAGCAUUCUACUAUUCUUGGAUAUCUUCUAUCUAGGGUUUACUUCAUUUUUCAUUGGUUGCUAAGAAAUGGAGGAAAAUGAUUGAAAUUUAUUAAUCAAUCGGGCUUUAUAUCCGUUUGGAGAUGUAAGUUUUAUAAGUUUUUUUUGGGUAAUAUGGCCCUGCUUAUGUGGCAUUGAAGUUCUUGCUCUAUUUAUGAGUUGCAUAGAUUUUGAUUUAUGAUGUGCUCAUUAACAUGUUGCUUGAUUAAUUUUUUCAUAUGUGCAUCUUUUAUUGGGUGCUUUUGAGUCCUUCAGAUAACUAUGGCUAGCAAUUAUCAAGUUAGGCUUGGCUUAGAGUUUAGUUGAGCAUUUAAGAUUCUAAAUUGUUGAUUUCCUUUUUCUUUUCCUUAUAUUCUCUUCAAUAACCAGAUGGGCUAUAAGCAAUGAAUAGUUGAUUUAUGGGUGAGAGAAUGGUACUUUUGCAUGUACUAUCUCAGGCAAAGUGAUAUAAGGUGUUGAAUAUGAGCCAUGAAGGUGGGGAGAGCGAAAGGGUGCAUGAAAAAUCACAACAUGCAAAGAGAAAAUCUAGUUCAAGUGGUGAUGAAUUUGCCCAAGCAAUUGCAAAGAUUGUUGUAGCACAAAUGUGUGAAUUCUGGAACUGAUAUGUGCUACAUCAGUGCCUCUGCUUAAAAUAGACUAAUUUCUUCUGGAUAAUCAUCAAAUCAUUUAGAAGCAUGUGAAUUAUGAUUAAUGCCGUUGUUUAAACGUGAGCAGGAAAGAAUACAUUUUCCAGUAACCCUUUCCAAUCGAACGAAAUUUUUAUUUGUAUUACUUCGUUAUUAGAUGGAUAGCUCCAAAUGAAUUUAUUACAGAUUACAUAGAGUUAUAGAACCAUUUCCAAAUCAUCUUUUUAUUCAUGCACAAGGCUAUAGGUAAUAUUCAUUUAUAUCUCUCACUAAAGAAGACUAAUUUCUUAAACCAGAAGAUUUCUGCAUAUAAUGUGUGUUGUCCCCAUCUUUUCUAUUUUGGUGCUUUGAAAUAAAUGAAAUCUAGUUGAUAGUUCUUUUGACGUGCAAGGUUAGCUCUUUGUUGCCGAAUCUUCUUUCUGGAAGCUGCCUCAAAUGAAGUGUCAACAGCCGUUACCACUAAAUUAUCUAGCAUGGUUUCUUUGUCUCUGGAUUUGCUUGUUCAGAGGCUGAAGGUGAUGGCCUUUGUGGAGAAUCAAGGCUUAUAGCUUACAAAAAGUGCAAUAAUUUUCAUGCAUGGAUACAUAAAAGAAGUCAAAAUCUCAAGCAAGAUGGUGCCAGGUUUUUAUUUUCGCUCUAAGUAUGCACUUGUUUCUCAUUGUUUCUCUCCCUCCCAUUUUCUCAAUGAAAAAUCAAUAUUGAGCAUUGUCAUUAUGCAAAAACAUGGUUCAUUUCCUUGUUUCUAGUGAGAAGAGAAUAGUAUAUGCAGUGCUUAUCUUUUAAUUCUAGAUAAUUUACUUCCAUAAGAUUGCGAAGACUUUCAUUAGGGACAAGAUGGAGAUGGAUGGGUUGAGCAAUCUUCUCACCCAUUCUUCUUCGGAUUAUUGCAGAAGGUUGAUGCUCCCUCUACGUAUGUUUGUGUAGAUAGCAAGAUAUACGAUGCCAUUGAAUGGUAUAUUUGUCAGGUAAAGUAAUUUAUUGCUUAAUUCUUGAAUUAAAACUUAUUUGAAGAUUUCUGUCAAUCAUCAUAAAUGAACAUUAUAGUAGAUAUAACUGUAAAGAAAAAAAGAAGAUUCUUUUUGUACCCCCAAUACAUCUUUUUGGUUGAGACAGUAAAAGGCUAUCUGAAAUUGUUCUAAAUAUUGGCUGGCUUAUUCAUAUCUGAAACUUCUUUCAGAUAUGUUGCAUUGCUGACUAUUAUUCUCUUAUUUUCCCCUUUUAUUUAAUUUUAAAGGGAAAGUAAGAGACAAAUAUAUAUACAGUUAAUUAAUUAGAUACUUAAUCAUUAUAUUAUAAUAUUUACUUGUUACCAUAUGUACUUGAAAUGAAUUUUCUUUCUACUUUUGAAUUUGUUGAUUUGGAGCACUAGUUACCUUAAGGACCGCUCUUGAGUUUUUGUCCCUACAAUGGGAGCACCUGCUGCAAUUCCACUUGAGAUAUACAAUUGCCAAAAGCAAUUUCAGGCAAUGAACAUCUCCAAUCCUUGUGAGUAGUUGAAGGUUCAUGGGAACGAAUUAGAAGGAAAGGAACUUUCUUGGAGGUGAGAGUAUUGGGUACAUAGACGUUGUGACCUUUUUUUUUUUUUUUAGCGUAUCGGUUCCAAGUGCAUCCAGACGUUAGGCAAAUAGGAUUUGAUAAUUGAAAAGAAAUUUUCAUUUUUAUGCAAGUGGAUGGGAAAGCACCAUGUAUUAAUAUUUAAUUUAUAAUAUGCAUUAAUUAUUUUUAA